GCCGGUGUAGCUCAGUUGGUAGAGCGCCAAUCUUGUAAAUUGGAUGCCGCGGGUUCGAUUCCUGUCACCGGCU
rnacentral:tRNA from 1 species